rnacentral:misc_RNA from 1 species
GAAAUGCGAUAAGUAAUGUGAAUUGCAGAAUCCCGCGAACCAUCGAGUCUUUGAACGCAAGUUGCGCCCGAAGCCAUUAGGUUGAGGGCACGCCUGCCUGGGCGUCUCACGUUGCGUCGCCCGCGCCCCCUCCCCCCGCGAAGGGGGGAAAAAGGGCUGCGGGCGGAUGUUGGCCCCCCGCACGCGUCCGCGCGCGGUCGGGCCAAAAGUGAGUCCCCCGACGAGUGGUGGUUGACAAACCGUUGCGUCGCCCCGCGCACGUCCGUUCCGUCACGGGAGGCCUGUCGUGACCCUAUCGCGCCGCCGCCAAGGCGCUCCGAUCGCGACCCCAGGUCAGGCGGGAUUACCCGCUGAGUUUAA